CUGGUGCCAGCAGCGCGUAAUUCCAGCUCCAAUAGCGUAUAUUAAAGUUGUUGCAGUUAAAAAGCUCGUAGUUGAAUUUCGAGAUCUAAAUUGUUGGUCGUGCCUCGGUACGUACUGGUAAUUUUGGUUUCUCCCUUCUGAAGAACCAUGAUGUCAUUAAUUUGGUGUCUUGGGGAAUCAGGACUGUUACUUUGAAAAAUUAGAGUGUUUAAAGCAGGCUCGCGCUUGAAUACAUUAGCAUGGAAUAAUGAAUAGGACGUUUGAUUCUAUUUUGUUAGGUUUCUAGGAUCGACGUAAUGAUUAAUAGGGAUAGUUGGGGGCAUUAGUAUUCAAUUGUCAGAGGUGAAAUUCUUGGAUUUAUUGAAGACUAACUACUGCGAAAGCAUUUGCCAAGGAUGUUUUCAUUAAUCAAGAACGAAAGUUAGGGGGAUCGAAGACGAUCAGAUACCGUCGUAGUCUUAACCAUAAACUAUGCCGACUAGGGAUCGGAUGAUGUUAAUUUUUUAAUGACUCAUUCGGCGCCUUACG
rnacentral:rRNA from 1 species